rnacentral:rRNA from 1 species
UACGUAGGAGUCUAGCGUUGUCCGGAAUUACUGGGCGUAAAGCGCGUGUAGGCGGCAUACCAAGUCUGUUGUGAAAUCGCCCGGCUCAACUGGGCGGGGUCAAUGGAAACUGGUAAGCUGGAGGACGGUAGAGGCGAGUGGAAUUCCCGGUGUAGUGGUGAAAUGCGUAGAGAUCGGGAGGAACACCUGUGGCGAAGGCGGCUCGCUGGGCCGAUCCUGACGCUGAGACGCGAAAGCUAGGGGAGCAAACGGG